rnacentral:rRNA from 1 species
AGAGUUUGAUCAUGGCUCAGAUUGAACGCUGGCGGAAUGCUUUACACAUGCAAGUCGAACGGCAGCACGGGGCAACCUGGUGGCGAGUGGCGAACGGGUGAGUAAUACAUCGGAACGUGCCCAAUCGUGGGGGAUAACGUAGCGAAAGUUACGCUAAUACCGCAUACGACCUACGGAUGAAAGCGGGGGAUCGCAAGACCUCGCGCGAGUGGAGCGGCCGAUGUCAGAUUAGGUAGUUGGUGGGGUAAAGGCUCACCAAGCCAACGAUCUGUAGCUGGUCUGAGAGGACGACCAGCCACACUGGAACUGAGACACGGUCCAGACUCCUACGGGAGGCAGCAGUGGGGAAUUUUGGACAAUGGGCGCAAGCCUGAUCCAGCCAUUCCGCGUGCAGGAUGAAGGCCUUCGGGUUGUAAACUGCUUUUGUACGGAACGAAACGGCGAGCUCUAAUACAGUUUGCUAAUGACGGUACCGUAAGAAUAAGCACCGGCUAACUACGUG